rnacentral:misc_RNA from 1 species
AAAAAAAUGGGUGCCCAUGUCUUCCUGCUGCCCCAUGUACACUUCAUCAUCACCUUCUUCUUUCUCUUAGUCUUUGUUCCAACAUCUUAUUGUGAAGAAGAUGAGUUUUAUAGAGAGUGCUUCACACCAUUCCAGUGUGGACACCUGUCAAAUCUUUCUUAUCCUUUCUGGAGAGAUGAGCCACCUGAAAUCUGCCGUCAUGAAGGAUUCC